rnacentral:rRNA from 1 species
UACGGGGGGAGCAAGCGUUGUUCGGAUUACUGGGCGUAAAGGGCGCGUAGGCGGCGUGACAAGUCACUUGUGAAAUCUCAGAGCUUAACUCUGAACGGUCAAGUGAUACUGUCGUGCUAGAGUGCAGAAGGGGCAACUGGAAUUCUCGGUGUAGCGGUGAAAUGCGUAGAUAUCGAGAGGAACACCUGAGGUGAAGACGGGUUGCUGGGCUGACACUGACGCUGAAGCGCGAAAGCCAGGGAGCAAACGGG